AGUGAACGCUGGCGGUAGGCCUAACACAUGCAAGUCGAACGGCAGCACACGAGAGCUUGCUCUCUGGGUGGCGAGUGGCGGACGGGUGAGGAAUACAUCGGACUCUACUUUUUCGUGGGGGAUAACGUAGGGAAACUUACGCUAAUACCGCAUACGACCUACGGGUGAAAGCAGGGGAUCUUCGGACCUUGCGCGAUUGAAUGAGCCGAUGUCGGAUUAGCUAGUUGGCGGGGUAAAGGCCCACCAAGGCGACGAACCGUAGCUGGUCUGAGAGGAUGAUCAGCCACACUGGAACUGAGACACGGUCCAGACUCCGACGGGAGGCAGCAGUGGGGAAGAUUGUACAAUGGGCGCAAGCCUGAUCCAGCCAUACCGCGUGGGUGAAGAAGGCCUUCGGGUUGUAAAGCCCUUUUGUUGGGAAAGAAAUCCAGCUGGUUAAUACCCGGUUGGGAUGACGGUACCCAAAGAAUAAGCACCUGCUAACUUCGUGCCAGCCGCCGCAGUAA
rnacentral:rRNA from 1 species